rnacentral:rRNA from 1 species
AUGAACGCUGGCGGCGUGCCUAAUACCUGCAAGUCGAGCGAACAGACGAGGAGCUUGCUCCUCUGACGUUAGCGGCGGACGGGUGAGUAACACGUGGUUAACCUACCUAUAAGACUGGGAUAACUUCGGGAAACCGGAGCUAAUACCGGAUAAUAUAUUGAACCGCAUGGUUCAAUAGUGAAAGACGGGUUUGCUGUCACUUAUAGAUGGAUCCGCGCCGCAUUAGCUAGUUGGUAAGGUAACGGCUUACCAAGGCAACGAUGCGUAGCCGACCUGAGAGGGUGAUCGGCCACACUGGAACUGAGACACGGUCCAGACUCCUACGGGAGGCAGCAGUAGGGAAUCUUCCGCAAUGGGCGAAAGCCUGACGGAGCAACGCCGCGUGAGUGAUGAAGGUCUUCGGAUCGUAAAACUCUGUUAUUAGGGAAGAACAAAUGUGUAAGUAACUAUGCACGUCUUGACGGUACCUAAUCAGAAAGCCACGGCUAACUACGUG